UUGAACGCUGGCGGAAUGCUUUACACAUGCAAGUCGAGCGGCAGCGCGGGGGCAACCCUGGCGGCGAGCGGCGAACGGGUGAGUAAUACAUCGGAACGUACCCAGUUGUGGGGGAUAGCCCGGCGAAAGCCGGAUUAAUACCGCAUAAGUCCUGAGGGAGAAAGCGGGGGAUCGCAAGACCUCGCGCGACAGGAGCGGCCGAUAUCGGAUUAGCUAGUUGGUGAGGUAAAGGCUCACCAAGGCGACGAUCCGUAGCUGGUCUGAGAGGACGACCAGCCACACUGGAACUGAGACACGGUCCAGACUCCUACGGGAGGCAGCAGUGGGGAAUUUUGGACAAUGGGGGCAACCCUGAUCCAGCCAUUCCGCGUGAGUGAAGAAGGCCUUCGGGUUGUAAAACUCUUUCGGCAGGAACGAAACGGUGAGCUCUAACAUAGCUUGCUAAUGACGGUACCUGAAGAAGAAGCACCGGCUAACUACGU
rnacentral:rRNA from 1 species